AACAGAGAUAAUUUUUCUUGCAAUAUAUAUGUACUUGGGUUUAACAUGUUAAGGAAAAUGAGAUCAACAUUAAUUUGUUUUUUUUUUUGACAAAUUGAGCAGCUAUUAUAUAAAGUAUUAAUUCUGAUAAAGCCAGUGACUGCCAGUGACCAAAAGGAGAACCCAUGUUGUUAUAAAAAAAUAAUUAGUUUUUAUCAUUUGAGAAAUGCUCUGUUUAUAAGAAUUGAUAGAUGGUUUAUUAUAUAGUAAGUAAAAUGGAUAAGAUCAUUUAAAGUAACAAGUGUAUUGAAGAACAGGGAGAUAAAAAAUUUCAAAGUGGAGAAUUCAUUUUCUAAUGUUGAUAAUAGACACACUAUUAUCAUUCAUUUUCACAAAACUCAACUGAUACAGUUCAAAUUUAAGAAUUGCUCUAUUUAUUAAAAAUAUUAUCUGUAAAUGAAUUCUGUUUUUCUUUGAACAUAUUCAAUGA
rnacentral:lncRNA from 1 species